rnacentral:lncRNA from 1 species
AUGUAUUUUAGGAACCUCGUUUGUUUGCUGCUUGUUGCUUUGCGAUGCGUUCAAAUGCACGUCCAGCUACCUUUUAUUUUGUUUCCUAAUUGUUGUGUACAUGAUGUGCUCGUUUUUGCACGGCUGCACAUCAGGCUCAGAGGCCCUGCCCAGCUUCUACCUUCGCUGGGUAAGCACAUAAAAACCUUCUCAAAAAGGGCAGGGAGAGCUGCUGUCUCCUCAGAGACGGCUGCUGAGAGCCCCUUCAGCCCACACGGGGGAUGGCGGCUCCUCCCCGCCGCUCCUUUUUCCUGCUCUUUCCCCCUCCUCCGCCGUGGCCACUCCAGGGGCUGCAGAGCAACCUCUGCUCCGCUGCCUGGAGCAGCUCCUGCCCUUCCUCCUCCUCCUCUCCCCUGGCUGUCCGUGCAGGGCUGUUCCUCGCAGCGCUCCCCUCACCGCCCCCUGUCGUGCGGUGUUUGCCCUCCCUUCCCCAGGCUGCCCCCGAGGCGAGGCUGCGGGGCCCGGCCGUGCCCUGCGGUGGGGCCGGCAUGGGGCAGCCCCAGCACGCCGCAUGCAGCGGCCCCCAGACCCCGGCCACCGCCCGGGUCCCUGCACCUUGAACGCUCACUGGGACACCAACGUUGGCAUCUACGAGGCAAGAAAUGAGCUACCACAGAAGACAUACUGCUCAGUUUAUGUGAAGAGCUACAGCUAGGGAAGGUAGCUGUUACUGCUCUCUGUGCUCUCAAUGUUUCCUUGUGCCGGAAAGGAGAACACCUAUCUCAGUUACCUGGUUGAGUGUUUGCACACAUUUUCGCCAUGCUCAGCUGGUUCUCUGAGCUUUAUGGUACGUAUUAAAGCUGAAGAGUACUCUCAGCAAGGUUGUGCUAAGCAGAGAGAGACUGAUUACUGGCAGAAUGGCAACAAGUGAAAAACCGUGUACUGUGAGCAUCCAGGAGUCAGCAGUUGGUUGCCUGAGUGUUGGUGUGAGGUGAGCUGUGUGCACGUCCACAGAGCCCAUGGCAGUUCUGCUCCUAAGCCUUUCCUCUAGCAUAAAGCAUGCUUCAGUUAGUGUGUCUAUAAAAGAACUUACUCUUCUUG